rnacentral:rRNA from 1 species
GACGAACCGUGCGAACGUUAUUCGGAAUCAUUGGGCUUAAAGAGCGCGUAGGCGGCGGCGUAAGUUGGAAGUGAAAUCCCAUCGGCUCAACCGUGGAAUCGCUCCCAGUACUGCGUCGCUCGAGGGAGAUAGGGGACUGUGGAACUGCCGGUGGAGCGGUGAAAUGUGUUGAUAUCGGCGGGAACGCCAGUGGCGAAAGCGACAGUCUGGACCUCUUCUGACGCUGAGGCGCGAAAGCUAGGGUAGCGAACGGG